UACGGAGGAUGCAAGCGUUAUCCGGAAUGAUUGGGCGUAAAGCGUCCGCAGGUGGCUGUGUAAGUCUGCUGUCAAAGCGCAAAGCUCAACUUUGUAAAGGCAGUGGAAACUACAUGGCUAGAGUGCGUUCGGGGCAGAGGGAAUUCCUGGUGUAGCGGUGAAAUGCGUAGAGAUCAGGAAGAACACCGGUGGCGAAAGCGCUCUGCUAGGCCGCAACUGACACUGAGGGACGAAAGCUAGGGGAGCGAAUGGG
rnacentral:rRNA from 1 species